AAUCUACCCUCAAGCGGGGGAUAACUAAGGGGAACUUUAGCUAAUACCGCAUAAUCUCGAAAGAGAAAAGCUGCCCGCAAGGGUGGCACUUGAGGAGGAGCCUGCGUCCGAUUAGCUAGUUGGCAGGGUAAAAGCCUACCAAGGCGAUGAUCGGUAACUGGUCUGAGAGGACGACCAGUCACACUGGGACUGAGACACGGCCCAGACUCCUACGGGAGGCAGCAGUGGGGAAUAUUGGACAAUGGGGGCAACCCUGAUCCAGCGAUGCCGCGUGAGU
rnacentral:rRNA from 1 species